rnacentral:lncRNA from 1 species
ACAUCAUUCCAAAGGCCACUUAACUUCUUCUAAAGAUGGAAGCACAUACUAGAAUAUUUGGUUUUAUUAUCCAGAAGAUCCCACUUAUAUUUAUGUCGCAGAACCUUAACCCAAAUGAGUGCGGCUGAGCGAUAAUAUUAAAGCAAACUUUCAUAAGGAAAGCUUUAUUGAGAUUCCUAAGGUUCAAGAUACCACUGCCCCCAUGCAUGAUAGGCUGUCACAUAUCAUGCCAGUUAACGAGACU